GACGAACGCUGGCGGCGUGCCUAAUACAUGCAAGUCGAACGCAGUUGGGACGGGUGAGUAACACGUGGGUAACCUCCCAUCAGAGGGGAUAACCCUUGGAAACAGGUGCUAAACCGAUACUGAUGGAUGGACCCGCGGUGCAUGAGCUAGUUGGUGAGGUAACGGCGCCCCAAGGCCACGAUGCAGAGCCGACUGGAGAGGGGGAUCGGCCACACUGGUACUGCGACACGGCCCAGAUUCCUACGGGAGGCAGCAGUAGGGAAUCGUCGGCAAUGGACGAAAGUCUGACCGAGCAACGCCGCGUGAGUGAAGAAGGUUUUCGGAUCGUAAAACUCUGUUGUUAGAGAAGCGGUAUCUAACCAGAAAGCCACGGCUAACUACGUGCCAGCAGCCGCGGUAAUUC
rnacentral:rRNA from 1 species